rnacentral:lncRNA from 12 species
GGGGGGGGGGGGGGGGGGGGGGGGGGGGGGGGGGGGGGGGGGGGGUCGUUUUCGGGGCGUUUUCCCAGAAUUCCGUUUAUUGAGGCACUUGCGGAGCGGGGGAGGGGCCCGGAGUGUUUGGCCACGCCCACGUGGGGGAGGGGCCAACGGGAGGGGAGUGGGGGAGGGGCCAAACGAAGGUCACCCCAGGUCAACCCAAAACUCAAGAUCAACCCAACUGGAAGUCAAACCAAGUCAACCCAACCCAACUCAAGGUCAACCCAACCCAACUCAACCCAAGGUCAACCCAACCCAACCCAAUCAAACUCAAGGUCAUCCAAACUCAACCCAAGUCAAAGUCAACCAAACCCAACUCAACCCAAGAUCAACCCAACUCAACUCAAAGACAACCAAACGCAACUCAGGGUGAACCCAACCCAACCCAAGGUCAACCCAACCCAACCCAAUCAAACUCAAGGUCAUCCAAACUCAACCCAAGUCAAAGUCAACCAAACCCAACUCAAGGUCAAGCAAACCCAACUCAAGGUCAACCCAUCCCAAGUCAAAGUCAACCAAACCCAACCUAAGGUCAACCAAACUCAACUCAACCCAACCCAAAGUCAACCAAACCCAACCCAACCCAAAAAUUAACCAAAGGUCAACUCAACCCAACGGCAGCAAGGUCAACCACACUUGAGUCAACCCAAGGUGAACCCAAUUCAAGGUCAACCCAACCCAACCCAAGGUCAACCCUGCCCAACUCAACCCAACCCAACACAAGGUCAACCAAAUUUAAGGUCAACCCAACUCAACCGAACUCAAAAGUCAACCCAACCCAUGGUCAGCAAAGCCCAAACCAACCCCAUGACCGACGCACGUCGAGUCUGGACAACCGUUGGUCAAAGUCAAGACCAAUCCCAUGGCCAACCCAAGUGGACACCGAGCCAAUGGUCGAGCCAAGACCAACCAAUGGUCAGUCAGGUGAAGGUCAACCAAUCAAUGGUCGACCCAAAGCCAAGCCAACCCAAGGUCAAGCCAAGGUCAAAGGUCACACAACCGUCGAGUGGAGCCCAACCAACGAUCAACCAAGUCAAGACUGACCAUGCGAUGGUCAUGACCAGCCAAGAGUCACCCAACCGUCAACUGAAAACCAACCAACGGCCAAAGGAGUCAACAUUGAUCAACCCAAAGUCAGGAUCAGUCCAAGAUCAAGUUAAGACCAACCCAAACCAAGGUCAAGGUCACCCAAUGAUCAAGAGAGCACCGACCAAUGGUCGACAAAACCAAGAUCGACCAUCCCAAGGUCAAGACCAACCCAAGGUCAAGACCAACCCACGGUCAAGACCACGCCCACCCAAACUCAGGUGAGGUCAAGGUCACCCAAAGCCCAACCCCAAACCAACCAAUGAUCAAGGUCAAGGUCAACCAAUCAACGGCCAACUCCAACUCAAAGCCAACCCAACCCAAGGUCAAAGGUCACCCAACGGUCAACUGAAGACCGACCAAUGAUCAACGAAGUCAAGAUGGACCAACCACAGGUCAAGACCAAUCCAAGAGUCACCCAAUGGUCAGGCGAAGAGCAAUCAAUGGUCAACAAGGUCAAGACCGACCAAGCCAUGGUGAAGACAACUCCAAGUUAAGACCAACCCAAACCAAGCUCAAGGUCACCCAACGAUCAACGAAGAGCCACCAAUGGUCAACGAAGUUGAAACCAACCAACCGACAGUCAAGACCAGCCCAAAGCCAAGGCCACGCCCACCCAAGCUCAGGCGAGCUCAAAGCCCAACCCCAAACCAACCGCGGAUCACCGAGGUCAAGCUCAGGGGGGGGGGGGGGGGGGGGGGGGGGGGGGGGGGGGGGGGGGGGGGGGGGGGGGGGGGGGGGGGGGGGG